CUGUGUAUGAUUUGCAUUAUGGAGGCGUGAAACUGUUUGGAGUUGCUCAUCGGAAGAAAAAAACUAUGGGGAAUUGUUUUUAGAGUCUGGCAGAGUUUGAUGGUUGAUUCACAUGCCAAAAACUCACAAAUCGUGCCAAAGAUUGAUUAAAAGAUCAGGACUUAUUCGUUGAAUCUGGACCAUUGAUGUUUCAUUUCCACCAUGCAUUAAAUAUCCACCAAUCUGCCACUAAGAAAUUCAAAUCCGUCUUCUGCUACGGCCACCUAUGUUUCGACCUGAUAGUCAGCGGUUUAAAAGUUGUAAAGAAUCCGCCAGUCUAUUAUGGUUUUAUGUUGAUGAUUUUGUUCAUAGAGGCAGUUUGAUCAUUGGUGUGGAUCAAUUACCUAGUUGGUCUCUCAACUUGGAUCGUCCAUGGCUAAUGCGAAAUGGGGCUCACUUGAGUGCACUUGCCAUUCUACAAUAUGGGUCAAUUUAUAGCUGUAGAACAUCAAACUGUGGCCCUCCUACAGGGAUUGGAAAUAAAUAGCGGAGUCCAGCUCCAGCCUAAUGCAGUUACGACUCGUGCUCGGGCCUAGGCCUUCUAAUACUCCAGGGUUUGGUUCCAGGCCCAAGCACAUCCAUUAACAUCACAUAUGUGCCUGUUCGGAUCUUGGGCUAGGCGUUGGCAAAAGGACUCUGCAAAGCGUAGACCCUGCCCAGACACGUUUGUUAUUUGGGCCCGUGCUCAACCCACGGGAAUCCCAGCUGUAGAAACAGUCCAUCCGGCAUUCGGCGAGAUUCUCUUCAGCAGCAUCGAUUCUCCUAUGGCGUGCGUGAGUUUUCUCCGCUCAUCAAGUGGGACCAUUCGCGGUUUGUUAUUGUCCUAAAAGCCAGCCAACUCCGGUUCAGCCAACAAGCAAUCAGGCCACACGUGUACAUUUCAUAGAUGCAGCGAAAAUCCUCUUCGGCCAUGACGUCACGUCUGGCCAAAAUAACAUUGGUCCAUUGCGAUUUUUAUGUGUGGAGAGCACAAUCAAUGAGGCCCACGAGAUGAACGAUCCAGGUCUCACGAACACUUCUCCCUUCCUGUAACUCGGAUGCGGAUUGGGUACUACGGACGGUCCGAGGAGAGCCCUUGUGGGACCCACCGUGAUGUUUUUUUUUAAAUCCACUCCGACCAUCCACUUUGACAAAUCAAUUUUAGCUAAUGAUCCAAAAAAUGAGGCAGAUUGAAGGUUCAAGCAGACCACCUACCAUUGAAACAUUCAUAGGGUCCAUUGUGAUGUUUAUUUUUCAUCCAACAUGUUCAUAAGGUCACGUAGACCUGGAUGAAGUUAUAUGUGAAAUUUUCAAUGGUAAGCGAUCUAUCCCCCAUUGUUUCCUGUGGUGUGGCCAACUUUAGCCUUCCAUCUGCUUAAUAUUUGAGCUUAUCAUCUAAAAUGUUCUUCCAAAAUGAAUGAAUGGCGUGUAUAAAAUACAUACAUCACGGUGGACCCCAGAGAGUAUAAAACACAUGUUACAGGCUGUGUUGGAGAAGACCGGAGUGAGUUGUUGGAAAUGUUAUCGUGAAAGGCUCUAUACGAGCAGUAGAGUGGUGCAUAGCAGCCUUCUUUGCUGGUUUUCCAGUUCAUUAUAUUCGAUUGUUAUAGAAUAAAAGGACGUCUAUAUCAUGUUUGAUCAAAAGAAAUGUUCUUCUCUUCAUCCAACAAGUUGUAUAAGUGAGGCCCAUCCUUCGGUAAUCUAAGCCUUUCAUGUAGUUGGCUAAUGGUGAAGCAACAACCACAAUAUCAACCCUAUCAUAUGAUCCUGGCCAUCUGAUAGUCAAAUGAUCCACUUGUAAGUACAAGUAGGGUCAUAUGAUGGGGAAGAUUUUUGGGUAUCUUGUAUACUCAUCCACAAUGGGGACCUACCUUGUGGAUGGCUUGGGUCACCAAAAGGUCUGUCUAGUUGGGAAACCACACAAAUUUCUCUUUUACGUGCAAAUCAAUGGGAUUAACAAUAUAAAAUGUUUAGUGGAUGAAAAUUACUUCUAACAAAAACAAGCAAAUUAUUAAACAUGUAGAAUUCAAGAGACUAAGAUUUUUAUGUGGAAAAUCUUCAAUGUGAAGGGAAAAAUCACUCGACAAAAAUCUAUUAUAAUCAAAAUAAUGAAAGUACAAUCAUCAAAAGACCUCUCUUGGAUACCCAAAUUACAUCACCCAAAGGUGGAUUACAAGCAACAUAAAAGAAAUGAAUUCUCAUCAACUAGGGAAUGUAGAAGAUCCUCAACACAACCUUUGGAGAAGACGAUCGAAGAAACCGGCAUUGUAGAUGGACCCUGAUGAAUCCAAACGUGAAGAUUUUGAUAGUAGAAAGCUUUUGAUCUUCUCUUCUAUAAAACUCUCUCUUUUCUCUCCUCUUUUUUCUCCGAGAAAAAAAACCUCCAAUGUUGCUAACCCAUUUUCUCUUAUUUUACUUGCUUGACUAAAAGACCAAAAUGCCCCUCACACAUAUGUGCCACUAGAAGUUACUUAAGCCCACAGAUGAGUCCCGCCUUCACAUGGAGAGGGGAUCCCAACAGUUUCUGGGUAACUCGUUGGCUGAGCAAAGUGCUUGAAUGAACAUUGCAAAAUUUCUUCCAUAGGGUAUAUCUAACAUUCUAGAUAUAUCAUUCUUAGCCAUUCAUGCGGAGACUCUCCCAAUCAAGACGGUGAACCAGAAAUACGUAUCUGGACUUCAAGCACUAGCUGAUGUUGUUGCUGCAAUAAAGUCCAUUUUUUUAUGAAAUCAGUCAGUGAAGUUCAAUCUCUUGAAUAUGCAUGUUUAUGCUUGUGAAAAUGCAAGUCUUUGAACUUUUCUCUCAUGGACUUUGUUUCAAAAAUUCAUGGGCAUAGCAGCUGGAGUUGAAUCCAUGUCCAUUGAUUCUGGUGCUCAUAAACCUACUUUCAACCCUCGGGUUCAUAUCCUUCUAAACCAAUAUCCUAAAGACUGCUUGCUUCUCAUGGAAUCACUUCAGAGAUUGUAGUAAAGCAGUACAAAAGUUUCAUGCUUCGAUCAAGGAAAAUUCAAUGAUGAGAUUGUCUCAGUACACAAAGAUUUUUGGAUGCAAUGGUUUUCUUAUUGGAAACAUGAUUUAUAAACAUCCAAAGCUCCAGAACAAAGAUGGAUAUUGGGACUUCUUUGCAGGCCAUUGAUCAUAAAAGUGGCAGUGAAAGAUUGGUCAAAGUUUCAGCUGAUGAAGGAAUUCAGCCUGGUACAUCUAUGCUUAAACCUUCAUUCAAAGAUGGUGGAACUACCACCACAGGCAAUUCUAGUCAAGCUAGUGAUGGUGCUGAAACUGUCCUGCUCAUGAAAUGAGAAGUUACACUGCAGAGAUGUUUGCCAAUACUGAGAACAUUCAGGCAUUUUCAUCAGAAUACGUCUACUGCCUUCGAAAGCUAGGACUGGAUGGAGAAAAGGUUAAUGUAAAUGGUGGAGCAAUUGUUCUUGGACACUGUUAGAGCCACAGGAUUGUCUUCUUCUUAUGGUAAUAUAAAUACCUUUUAGCUAUUUAUAUUGAGAGUUUA